CCUCCCGCCGGCCACACCGGCUCCAGGGGGGCCAGAGGCUCUGCGGGGUGGGGGGAGGACAGGAGGGGAGGAGGAGGGAGGGGGACCCCCGAGUCGCCCCCUCUCCUCCCCCCGCCCCCCGGCUCCAUCCUCCGCCGCCGCCCGAGCAGCUGCGGGGCCGCCGCCGCCGCCUUUGCAGGCUGAGUCAUCACUAGAGAGUGGGAAGGGCAGCAGCAGCAGAGAAUCCAAACCCCAAAGCUGGUAUCACAAAGUACCUUUUCUCCAAGUUGGGGGCUCAGAGGGGCGCCAUCAUGAGCGAUGUUACCAUUGUGAAAGAAGGUUGGGUUCAGAAGAGGGGAGAAUAUAUAAAAAACUGGAGGCCAAGAUAUUUCCUUUUGAAGACAGAUGGCUCAUUCAUAGGAUAUAAAGAGAAACCCCAAGAUGUGGAUUUACCUUAUCCCCUCAACAACUUUUCAGUAGCAAAAUGCCAGUUAAUGAAAACAGAACGACCAAAGCCAAACACAUUUAUUAUCAGAUGUCUCCAGUGGACCACUGUUAUAGAGAGAACAUUUCAUGUAGACACUCCAGAGGAAAGGAUAAAAGAAAACUACAUGGUCAUUUCAACAGGUGCAGAAGAAGCAUUUGAAAAAAUUCAACACUCUUUCAUAACAAAAACACUCAGCUGGCUAGGAAUGGAAAGGAACUUACUCAACUUGAUUAAGGUUAUCUACAAACUACAGGUUAAUAAUACUCAAAGGGAAGAAUGGACAGAAGCUAUCCAGGCUGUAGCAGACAGACUCCAGAGGCAAGAAGAGGAGAGAAUGAAUUGUAGUCCAACUUCACAAAUUGAUAAUAUAGGAGAGGAAGAGAUGGAUGCUUCUACAACCCAUCAUAAAAGAAAGACAAUGAAUGAUUUUGACUAUUUGAAACUACUAGGUAAAGGCACUUUUGGGAAAGUUAUUUUGGUUCGAGAGAAAGCAAGUGGAAAAUACUAUGCUAUGAAGAUUCUGAAGAAAGAAGUUAUUAUUGCCAAGGAUGAAGUGGCACACACUUUAACUGAAAGCAGAGUAUUAAAGAACACUAGACAUCCCUUUUUAACAUCCUUGAAAUAUUCCUUCCAGACAAAAGACCGUUUGUGUUUUGUGAUGGAAUAUGUUAAUGGGGGAGAGCUGUUUUUCCAUUUGUCGAGAGAGAGGGUGUUCUCUGAGGACCGCACACGUUUCUAUGGUGCAGAAAUUGUCUCUGCCUUGGACUAUCUACAUUCCGGAAAGAUUGUGUACCGUGAUCUCAAGUUGGAGAAUUUGAUGCUGGAUAAAGAUGGCCACAUAAAAAUUACAGAUUUUGGACUUUGCAAAGAAGGGAUCACAGAUGCAGCCACCAUGAAGACGUUCUGUGGUACACCGGAAUAUCUGGCACCAGAGGUGUUGGAAGAUAAUGACUAUGGCCGAGCCGUGGAUUGGUGGGGCCUUGGGGUUGUCAUGUAUGAAAUGAUGUGCGGGAGGUUACCUUUCUACAACCAGGAUCAUGAGAAACUUUUUGAACUAAUUCUAAUGGAAGACAUUAAAUUUCCUCGAACACUCUCUUCAGAUGCAAAAUCAUUGCUUUCAGGGCUCUUGAUAAAGGAUCCAAAUAAACGCCUUGGUGGAGGACCAGAUGAUGCAAAAGAAAUUAUGAGACACAGUUUCUUUUCUGGAGUAAACUGGCAAGAUGUGUAUGAUAAAAAGUUUUUUGGCAUGGGGCCUCCUGCACUGGAGUUUGCUGGCCGUUGGUGGAGCUGGGUAUUAGUGUUGAGACGAAGAUCUCUGGGAGAGCUCUCGCCAAUUGAUAUCACGUGGGGCUGGGAGGUUUCUGGUGGUCCAAUGUCCUGGACUCGGCCCUCCCACCUCAGAGGCUCAGGUCUGACACCCGGCCGGAGGACCAAGACCCUGCCAGCCGCAUGGCUCAGAAGAAAAGGAAGAAAGAAAGAAAAGAAAAAAAAAAAAAAAAACAGACGGAACUCUAGGACAUGUGCUUGUACCUCCUUUUAAGCCUCAAGUAACAUCUGAGACAGACACCAGAUACUUUGAUGAAGAAUUUACAGCUCAGACUAUUACAAUAACACCACCUGAAAAGUAUGAUGAGGACGGUAUGGACUGCACGGACAGUGAGAGGCGGCCGCAUUUCCCUCAGUUUUCCUACUCUGCAAGCGGACGAGAAUAAGUCUCUUCUGCUACUUCACUGUCAUCUUAGAUUUAUUACUGAAAAUGAUUCCUGGACAUCACAGCAGUCCUAGCUCUUACAAAUGCAGGAGCACCUUCAGACAUCCCAGACCAGUCCAAGGUCUUCACCCCUCGCCGCCUUUCACCCACAUGAGAACACACAUAUAUGCAGACAUACUCGACUUUUGUUUUUGCAUGAAAUUGUAUCUCAGUCUAAGGUCUCAUGCUGUUGCUGCUACUGUCUUACUAUUAUAGCAACUUUAAGAGGUAAUUUUACAAUCUUUGGAAGUCAUGAGCCCACCAUUGUUCAUUUGUGCACCAACUGUCAUCUUUUGAUCUUUUAAUUUUUGUUUUUCCCUAACAGUGAAGGCUAAAUGAUUCUAGGUAUAUUUUUUAACUUUCUAGACGAUAAAUCAAAAACUAAUUAGACUAAGAAGAUUUAGUUUAUAAUUCAGAACAAGCAAUUGUGGAAGCGUGGUGAUGUGCAUAUGCAAAAUUUUAGUAAAGCAUAUCAGAUCAGUGCGUAAAAUAGGUAGGUAUCAGUAAGAUCCUACUGGAACUCAUUAGGAAGCAUUUGAGAGAAGGAAUGAACAAUUAUUAAGAUAGAUAUAUACAUUUAUAAAUUUAAAUUCGUAUCCGAUACUGCAGAGGAAGCCUGAUAUUACUUGUGGAUGUCCAGAUUUCACAGGCAGUUGUUGGCAAAGGAACAUUGUUCGACCGAGGAAGGAAGCAUAUGCACAGCAGAGUAGGUCACUUAAGGGUCUAUGAUAUGAUUUGCACCAGAGAGCGUUUUAUUUCCCCUGUUCUUGGAAACCUUUUUCCCUUCUUGAUAUUAUCACCUCUGAUGGCUGAAGAAUGUAGACAGGUGUAAUGAUCCUGCUUUUCACCAAAAUUUGUACACCAAGGUAAACAGGUGUUUGCCUUAUUUGUUUUAAUUUUUUACUUUCAGUUCUACGUGAAUUAGCUUUUUCUCAGAUGUUAAAACUUUGAAUGUCCUUUUAUGAUUUUGUUUAUGUUGCAGUAGUAUUUAUUUUUUAGUGAUGAGAAUUGUAUGUCAUGUUAGCAAAUGCAGCUCCAACUUAACAUAAAACAGACUUAACUGCAGUUUCUUUUGACCCAUGUGCAAGGAAUGUACACGCCGAAGAGAAUCAUGCACUUUUUCUCCUGUGUAAAAACAAAAUUUUGAUGAGGCUCUGAAAUUGUACAUAUAGAUUAGAAUUUGGCUUUAGGAGAAGAGAUGCUGUCAUUUAACCCCUUGGUGCUAAAAAUGAGAAAUCCCCAACUAUCCAUGCCAAGGGGUUGAAACAAAUGGGUGUUAUAUUUGCUCUUUUGAGAAUUGAAAUAUUAUGACGGCCUGGCAACAUAAUGUAAUGAAGAAAAUUGAGACCUGGAUGAUAAGAAAUGAACUUUACUUGGCAAAAUGAACACAUCUCAAGUAUUUACGAAGUGGGCAGUAAAGGAUAAGGACCUGGUGUGUUUAUUCUGAUCAUGGUACAUUUAUCACUGAAUUAAGCCAUCAGGGAAAAAACAAAACAAAAAAGAACACCUCCAACUUUUCUUUUUCUGUAUAUACUCAUGUCCUCAAAUUCCGACACUUCUCACUGAAAGGGGACAUGUAUGCAAACCUCAUCUUUCUCUUUCAUUAAUGAUGAUCUUCAGAUUAAACCCUUUGGUGCUAGGAGCUGACAUUUUCCAAAGCAGCCUAUGAAGUCCAGGGGGCUCCUGACUCCGUGGAGCCAUCGUGGAGAUGUAUUUUAGUUAAACUAUCUGACAGCUCCCAAAUGGAAGACUGCAGCAUGACGUAGUGUUAUGAUUGCAUUGUAUGAAAGAGCAAGUGACUUUCUAAGUAGGAUGAAUCAUAUUCAUAUGCAGAUGUCUUAGCCUCUUGACGCUGGAAGUGUGGGUUUACAGAUAUGAAACCACUGCUGGCAGUGGGUGGACCACUGGGACUGACAGGGGGUUAAAGGGCAUUUUACUAAGGCAGCUAAGACAUAUUCAGACAUAGAUUUUAUCCUAAUUUUUCAUAUUUCUACCUGAGUGAAGUUCAUCCUUAGUACUGAGUAGGAAGUUACAGUAAAAUGGUAGUUCAUUCUUACUUACACAUAUAGCUCAACUUUUUUUUUUCACUUGGAAUUAUGUUGAAUGUUUCACUUUGACAAGAAAGUAGACUAGAAGGUAUGUCCUGUAAGUUGUCUUGCAUCCAUUAUAUAAAAAAGGAACAGGUGAGAGGAAGAGAGGAAAGCUGAGACUGGCUGGUGUUCAGAGCAUUCAUUUCUUCAGAGGGAAAGUACACCAUACACUAAGCACACAGAUAGUUUUGGGGUUCCCCCCCCCAAAUCUUAAGGUGAUUUCCAUGACCUUGGCCAAGGACACUUCCUAAGGAUUAAUGACAGCGUUGACUGUGCCUCAGGCUGGCCACUCUGCACAGCUGGCUCUCUGUCCCCAGCUGGUGCCCGGGGCUUAGUCCCGUAUCCCCUCCGAGAUUCUGUUAGCGUCACACAGGGUGUGUUGUUGGCUUUGAUUUUUAAGAAUCCCUUACUUUCACUCCCUGAUCUCAGUCAGCUGGCAUGGAAAAACAAUAGAAAAACAGAAAUGUGUGUAGAAGGAGAUUCUAAAACUUCCCUCAUGUCUGCCCAUAGCUGAAGUUUCGGAUUCUGGUGGACGGAAAGGCCUGGCCCUGGAGUCACUCUGUCAGAAUAGCAGAAGUUCAGGCUUUGCAGACUCCUUCCUGUACCAACUUCCUUGAAGUCUGCCUCUUGCCAUGAUGCAGCCAUCUUGGAGGAAAUUGGCCGUCUCUGCUUGGACCUUUGGCAGGGCUGCUCACAGCUUUGCUUUCCACACUAACUACAUAGCAUUAUUCCAGUGUUUUCCAUUUCCCAUACCUGAUUUCCAGCUUCUUAAAGCUGACUGUUCUUGCAAGGGCCACUUGCUUCUCUUAGAGUACAAAGUAAGGGCCUUCCUUACUAACUGCAGGGUCUUUCUAUUACACCUCAGCGUACACACUUUGCUGCUACUGUUUGUACUGUGUCUACAGUAGAACUCCCUUAUCUUGCUCCUGGUACUGCAUUACAGGCAAGCAUGAAAUGUAAAGUAUUUAUUUAAAUAAGAAGAAAACCUCUAAAUUGGUAAUUGAAUUACCUCCCUGUAGCUUUAUAGUUUGUGACAUUUCUUGACCUUGCUAGUUCUUUCAUUAGAUCCGCGCAAGAUCUAGUCAUCUGGUUAAGGAUUUCAAGCAGACGCAACUAUGAACCCAAGAAACUGUAUUACUAUUACUGUUGGUCAUACUAAAACUGUUUAUUUCCUUAAGUAUAUGACCCACAAGGAUGUGAAAUAACUACAAGAAACUGUUUUUGUACACUGUACAUCCUUAGUAUUUUUACACGUAUAUGAUAGGGAUGCACAUUAUUUUCCUUCGUACAGACAGCUUAAAUAAAGCACUAUGUCAAUCUGCUA